GGGGAUGUAGCUCAGUUGGGAGAGCGCUUGAAUGGCAUUCAAGAGGUCAGGGGUUCGAUUCCCCUCAUCUCCA
rfam:Desulfotomaculum acetoxidans DSM 771, complete genome.